AAUUGGGGGAGAGAGACUUUUUCUCUCUCCUCUCUAUUUCUCUCUAUACAAAAUGAGAAAUGAGAGCUAGAAUUUCUGAAAAUUGCAAUCCAACUUUUCGUGGAAUGAGUGGGACAGGGGUUGUAUGGAGUACGUCAACCGAGUCCAGGGGUUUGCGGUUCAAGAAGUGGAAAUACAAGCUGCCCAAGUGUUACGAGUCUUGUCCGACACCUGAGGCAGCGAGGGGACCUUCCCAAGGAGUUUCUGGAGAGGGUGGGUGAGUGAGACUGGCUUUGCACUCACUUUGAGAGUGAAAAGUAUAAGCAAAUAAAGGGGAUCGGGACAAGAAGCCGUACGAACACCGCUUCGGUUCUCAACCCCUAUCUUACCGAAUCAAGGAACAGCGAGAGGCUGAGGAGAAGUCACCGGAGGUGGUGGUUUGGAGGGAGAACCACGCCAAUUAAGGCAAUGAGGUCGAGGACGGGAUUUAUGCUUCAAUCUUACAAAAGAAGAACAAGGACCUCGCCAAUCUCUCCCAGCGGCAUCCUGACGUGUCUCCCAGCGGCAUCCUGACAUGCCUAUGGAGGAACUGACACCUGAUCUAGAGGUGUCUCUCCAGGUGCUGAUGGACGAGGUUGGCCGUAAGGAAGUCCACGGCCUAAGAGUAGGUCGGGUUUGGAAAGUCAGGUUUUGUUCUUCAUUGACUUCCACUAUAGCAACCUAGACCAAUUCCAGACUUUAGCAGGAGGAUAAAGAGCUGGCGCGCCCAAAGGAAUUAGUCCGCCAGUACUUCUUAAUCGUAUCCUAUAGCUUUUCAGCUUCUGGCAUUAUGAUUCCACCGCCCUCACCCUACCCUCGAGCUUGUGCCGCCAUUGCAAUAGCUCGCUAGCAACCGUCCCAGGAUCCCCCCAGUGCUAUCGUUCCAGUAGCCGCCCCACUAGUGACUAGACCCCACCAUAUUUUAUGAUUCUUUUUUUCCUUCUUUUUUUGUAAUAUAUUUUUUGGGCGAACGAAUUUUUUUUGGGUUAUAUAUACUUAUUUCUA